UACGUAGGGUGCAAGCGUUGUCCGGAAUCAUUGGGCGUAAAGCGCGCGUAGGUGGUCCUGUAAGUCCGCUGUGAAAGUCAAAGGCUCAACCUUUGAAUGCCGGUGGAUACUGCAGGACUAGAGUACGGAAGAGGCGAGUGGAAUUCCUGGUGUAGCGGUGAAAUGCGCAGAUAUCAGGAGGAACACCAAUUGCGAAGGCAGCUCGCUGGGACGUUACUGACGCUGAGACGCGAAAGCGUGGGGAGCAAACAGG
rnacentral:rRNA from 1 species